rnacentral:rRNA from 1 species
AACAGGAUUAGAUACCCUGGUAGUCCACGCUGUAAACGAUGUCGACUUGGAGGUUGUGCCCUUGAGGCGUGGCUUCCGGAGCUAACGCGUUAAGUCGACCGCCUGGGGAGUACGGCCGCAAGGUUAAAACUCAAAUGAAUUGACGGGGGCCCGCACAAGCGGUGGAGCAUGUGGUUUAAUUCGAUGCAACGCGAAGAACCUUACCUACUCUUGACAUCCAGAGAAUUUGCUAGAGAUAGCUUAGUGCCUUCGGGAACUCUGAGACAGGUGCUGCAUGGCUGUCGUCAGCCCGUGUUGUGAAAUGUUGGGUUAAGUCCCGCAACGAGCGCAACCCUUAUCCUUUGUUGCCAGCGAGUAAUGUCGGGAACUCAAAGGAGACUGCCGGUGAUAAACCGGAGGAAGGUGGGGAUGACGUCAAGUCAUCAUGGCCCUUACGAGUAGGGCUACACACGUGCUACAAUGGCAUAUACAAAGAGAAGCGAACUCGCGAGAGCAAGCGGACCUCAUAAAGUAUGUCGUAGUCCGGAUUGGAGUCUGCAACUCGACUCCAUGAAGUCGGAAUCGCUAGUAAUCGUAGAUCAGAAUGCUACGGUGAAUACGUUCCCGGGCCUUGUACACACCGCCCGUCACACCAUGGGAGUGGGUUGCAAAAGAAGUAGGUAGCUUAACCUUCGGGAGGGCGCUUACCACUUUGUGAUUCAUGACUGGGGUGAAGUCGUAACAAGGUAACC